UACGUAGGGCGCAAGCGUUGUCCGGAAUUAUUGGGCGUAAAGAGCUCGUAGGCGGUUUGUCGCGUCUGCUGUGAAAACUGGAGGCUCAACCUCCAGCCUGCAGUGGGUACGGGCAGACUAGAGUGCGGUAGGGGAGAUUGGAAUUCCUGGUGUAGCGGUGGAAUGCGCAGAUAUCAGGAGGAACACCGGUGGCGAAGGCGGGUCUCUGGGCCGUAACUGACGCUGAGGAGCGAAAGCAUGGGGAGCGAACAGG
rnacentral:rRNA from 1 species